AGAGUUUGAUCCUGGCUCAGGAUGAACGCUGGCGGCGUGCCUAAUACAUGCAAGUCGAGCGAGAAAUCUUUCAGACGAUUCUUCGGAUGAGUCAGGAAGAUGGAAAGCGGCGGACGGGUGAGUAACGCGUAGGCAACCUGCCCUCAGCAGAGGGAUAGCCAUUGGAAACGAUGAUUAAAACCUCAUAAUGCUGGACCAACACAUGUUGGAUCAGCCAAAGAUUUAUCGGCUGGGGAUGGGCCUGCGUCUGAUUAACUGGUUGGUGAGGUAACGGCUCACCAAGGUAACGAUCAGUAGCCGACCUGAGAGGGUGAUCGGCCACAUUGGAACUGAGACACGGUCCAAACUUCUACGGAAGGCAGCAGUAAGGAAUCUUGCACAAUGGGGGAAACCCUGAUGCAGCAACGCCGCGUGAACGAUGAAGGCCUUAGGGUUGUAAAGUUCUGAUCUGUGGGAAGAAGAAAGUGACGGUACCACAGGAGAAAGCCCCGGCUAAAUACGUGCCAGCAGCCGCGGUAAU
rnacentral:rRNA from 1 species